rnacentral:misc_RNA from 1 species
GAAAUGCGAUACGUAGUGUGAAUUGCAGAAUUGAGUGAAUCAUCGAAUCUGUGAACGCACAUUGCGCGCUUUGGUAUUCCAAAGGGCAUGCCUGUUCGAGCGUCAUUUGUACCCUCAAGCUUUGCUUGGUGUUGGGCGUCUUUUGUCUCCAGUUCGCUGGAGACUCGCCUUAAAGUCAUUGGCAGCCGGCCUACUGGUUUCGGAGCGCAGCACAAGUCGCGCUCUUUGCCAGCCAAGGUCAGCGUCCCGCAAGCCUUCUUUUCAACCUUUGACCUCGGAUCAGGUAGGGAUACCCGCUGAACUUAA